rnacentral:rRNA from 1 species
UGGGGAAUUUUGGACAAUGGGCGAAAGCCUGAUCCAGCAAUGCCGCGUGUGUGAAGAAGGCCUUCGGGUUGUAAAGCACUUUUGUCCGGAAAGAAAUCCUUGGCUCUAAUACAGUCGGGGGAUGACGGUACCGGAAGAAUAAGCACCGGCUAACUACGUGCCAGCAGCCGCGGUAAUACGUAGGGUGCAAGCGUUAAUCGGAAUUACUGGGCGUAAAGCGUGCGCAGGCGGUUUGCUAAGACCGAUGUGAAAUCCCCGGGCUCAACCUGGGAACUGCAUUGGUGACUGGCAGGCUAGAGUAUGGCAGAGGGGGGUAGAAUUCCACGUGUAGCAGUGAAAUGCGUAGAGAUGUGGAGGAAUACCGAUGGCGAAGGCAGCCCCCUGGGGCCAAAUACUGACGCUCAUGCACGAAAGCGUGGGGAGCAAACAGGAUUAGAUACCCUGGUAGUCCACGCCCUAAACGAUGUCAACUAGUUGUGGGAUUCAUUCCUUAGUAACGUAGCUAACGCGUGAAGUUGACCGCCUGGGGAGUACGGUCGCAAGAUUAAAACUUAAAUGAAUUGACGGGGUCAUAGCUGUUUCCU